CGAAAAAAAAACAAUACGACAACACAAUAAACCCAUGUCACACCCUGGCCUGAACAAAUAAUUAAAGAAAACACAAAAUACUAAGACCAAGGCGUGACAGUUGCAUAGGAUGAUAUUACUCCAACCAGUCCUGAGGAGUAUUAUUUAGAGGGUACCAGAGUUAAGAUCUCCUGUAACUAACUGUGGUACAGACAGUACUCUGGAUCAGGUCUCCAAUUCCUUUACCUCGUAACAACUAACAAUAAUCCACAUGAAGUGAGAGGUGAUCCGCAAGACUUUCUACUGUCUGUUACACUGAACAAGGAGAGAACCUGCAUGGAUCUCCUCUGGAGGAGCAAAGAUGAGAGGUGGAGAGAUGAUUCUCCUCUAACUGACUGGAACAGUGGGAUGUCUUCAGUUCUGCCUCCUGAUAAACACACUGUUACACCCAUCACCAUGUUUCUCUACCCAGUGUUUCUCCUCUCUGCACUUGUUGGUGGCAGUUAUGAAAAUGACAUAAACCCAACUUCAGAGACAGAACAUGGCGUGGAGGGAAGCAAUGUUAAACUGUCUUGUAACUACUCUGACUCAGUAGACUAUUUUCAAUGGUAUCAUCAAUAUCCCAGAUCAGCACCGCAAUUCCUGCUCUAAACUACAGUCUCCUUAAAGCACUCUGUAUUUAGAGCUGAACCUGAUGACCCACGACUGUCUGUUAAUCUGAAUAAAGAGAGAACCUGUGUGGAUCUGGAGAUCUCCUCUGCUGAAGUGACAGACUCUGCUCUGUGCAGGGGGGUGCGUCCUACUGUAGUUUCAAGAAAAUCAGUUAUCCUGUAAAAAACUGUGUUGGACUUCACUCCAGCAUAUAACCUCAGCUACAAUAUAAUGGUUCUCUACUGAGUUAUUUUACUUUCUGUUCUGUAAAUUACUGUAUUCCUGUCCUUCUUUUAUCUUAAUGUUUUGGCUAUUGUAUAGUUUAUAAGUAUUUUGGGAUUUUAACUAGUUUCUUCAUAAUGACAUAUAACAUGAAUGGAGUACCACUGUAUCAAAUAUCCUCAUUUCAUACUCCUACACCUCUGAAGAAUCUAGUCACUUCCAUGACAAUCAGAAGAUCUACAGUAUUUUAUCUCUGAACACUCAAAAGCAGCUUUAUAAAAAUAAGUGUACAAGAUAUCAGUUAAAAGUGUUCACAAACCUUUAUUAAAAAGAA